GCGACAGGAAAUGUGUGCGGAGCGCUGCCAGGCCCGGUGCAGCCCUGAGUUAUUCUGGGGUCAGGAACACAGCUGGCGCCGGGUACAGGGGACGCAGUCGACUAGAAGGUCAAACACCCUGCUUAGAGCAAGAGGAGAAAUUCGCCACUGGGAUGAAGUGUGUGGUUUUUCUCCGUUCAGGGAGUUUCAUCAGGACCGCAGAACCCAUAACACGUACAAAGGGGACACAUUAAAUGUGAUCUCAAGUUUAAACUGUGUAUGCUGUCAAAGAAAUUCAAAUGGGGGCACCUCUUAUUAUAUUGGACCCAAGCUCUGUCACUGUCUUCCCCAAACAAGGCUGAAGCUGUGCUGCAUAUUCUUACCUAGCCUAGGAAGUCAUAAAACAUCACUCUGCUUCAUUCUGUUGGAUACUGAUGAGUCAAAACUUGCCAUUUUCAAAGGAAAAGAAUGCAGACACCUCUUAAAAGAGCAGGUAGUUAGAAUGCAACACUGGAAGAAUGUGAGUUUGAGACUAGAAAGAAAAAUUGAGGUAGCAUUCAUAUGGCAACUUCAUAUGACUUGAUGUGAGUAAAAGAGAUUUCUGCUGGAGGAUGGGGAAGUGGUCUGCAUGAGACAAAAGCUAAAAUUAUAACUUUGGGGAACUUUUGGAGGCUGAGGUCAGAGAAAUCUAAGGAGUUUCUAGUGCAGAGUCCUAGAAAUAAAAGGUGAAGAGAU
ensembl:lncRNA novel transcript